rnacentral:rRNA from 1 species
GAUGAACGCUAGCGGCAGGCCUAAUACAUGCAAGUCGAACGGGAUCCAGAUCAAAGCUUGCUUUGGUCUGGUGAGAGUGGCGCACGGGUGCGUAACGCGUGAGCAACCUACCCUUGUCAGGGGGAUAGCCCGGCGAAAGUCGGAUUAAUACCGCAUGACAUCAUUGAGAGGCAUCUUUCGAUGAUCAAAGAUUUAUCGGACAAGGAUGGGCUCGCGUGGCAUUAGCUAGUUGGUAAGGUAACGGCUUACCAAGGCUGCGAUGUCUAGGGGCUCUGAGAGGAGAAUCCCCCACACUGGUACUGAGACACGGACCAGACUCCUACGGGAGGCAGCAGUAAGGAAUAUUGAUCAAUGGACGGAAGUCUGAACCAGCCAUGCCGCGUGCAGGAAGACGGCCCUAUGGGUUGUAAACUGCUUUUAUACGGGAACAAACGUCGGUACGUGUACCGGUCUGAGUGUACCGUAAGAAUAAGGAUCGGCUAACUCCGUG